UGGUUAGGAACAAGACUAGGCUGUAGGCUGAGCUUUCAUAAUUCAUAACAAGUUUCUGUGUCAUUGUGUAACACAAAUUAACAGAAGACCCAGAGACUGAUAUUGGGGUUCAAGCUGAAGUUCAGAGAAGCAAAGCAGCCAGUUCCUAGCUCUUACCACUGCCUUGGACUGAAUGGGCUGAUCCUGCUGCCUCUCCUCAGCAUGGCUGGAGAAUCCUGAGACUGAAUGUCUUCCUAUUCUCAAGAUGUUUGGAGAAUGAAUUCUUCCACUGACUACGGUAGACCCUGCUUCUACCUUUUAUACCCCUCUAGUGCUGGGAUUAAAGGAAACAAAAAUCUAUAGAUCUCUUCAAAAUCAAUAAAGAUGAGAUUUGAUUUGGGGGGCCCUCCUGAAAAUCUUGGCUACAGACAUUGGGGAGGAGGAGGAGAAAGAGGAGGAGGAGGAAGAAGAAGAAGAAGAUGAUGAUGAUUGAUGACGAUGACAAGUACAGGACAGAGCUUACAAUGCCUCUGCUGCAGUUUCCUCAUAAAGCUACAUCCGAAACAACCUCAGCUCUCUCUGCAUGAGCACAGCUGUUUCUCAAGACUCAGAAUGAUGUAGGGGCCAAAGGGACAGCUCAGCGGGAGAAGGCACCUGCUGCCAGGCCUGAUGGUGGCUCGGUGAACAUUGUCUAAGCAUCUCUUUGUUGGCUUUGUCCUGGUCUGGUAUGCCUUCAUCGGUUUGCUUUAAAACCGCAUUGUCUGAAACAAAGGAAAGCAAGCUGACCCGGACAGGAAUGGGCAGCGCUCUGGGACGUGGGACUCUGCUCUAUACUCUAACCCCAGGCCCAGUCCGCUGAAGAUUGGAAGACCUAACCACGGAGCCGGCUCUCCCACCCAAGCUCCCGCUUUGAUAACUAUGCUGGCGCAUCCUUCUCCAAGCCUGCUAUCUCUUCUGGGGUCACCAGCAAACACCCUGAUGUGCACAGAGCAUCCACCAACCCCGACACCAUGGAGCAGCACACCUCACAACAUACUUUAUGGCUUAGUUAAUCUUUAAAGCCAAAUUUCGCACAACCCAGGCUGGCCUCAGACUUCCUAUAUACAAGAGUGACCUUGAAUUUAUGAUCGUAUCUCUAUCUCAGGGUGAGUACCCAGAUGGCAGGCACCCGUCACCACGGUCAGCCCCCUGUUUUAACUCUUUUAUCUUCAGAGUUCAAAGAAGUACUGAUUAUGAUUUCACAAUUUUGCUGAACUGACACCCAGGACUAAGAUCACAAGAAAUGGUACCUCACACCAGCCCGUCAGAAAUGAACACACUUGGCAGAAUUCCUCUCCUCCCGUGUGGGCAUGGAAUGCAGACAACUGUUCAGUGACUACCCUGUGCAAAUCCACCGUGACCUCAUGCAGGGUGGAUGCGAACUGUGUCUGUCCCAGCUGUGUUUCUUUGUCAGCAAUCGUGGCUUCUCCGGGUGAGCACCCCAGCAGGCUGGCUACUUCUCCGGGUGAGCACCCCAGCAGGCUGGCUACUUCUCCGGGUGAGCACCCCAGCAAAUGUCCUUAUGCUUGCACUCAUAAGUUCUCUGAGGGUUUGACCUCUAAAGCUGUGCCAGAAGCUUCUGAUGCAGGUCUCCAGCCCAUGUAGAGUCUGUGGCGAGUCACACCCUAGCCUGGCCUGCAUGAGACUAUCUCAAAGAACCACAGCCAAACAAGGCUUCUAAAGGCAGACAUUCAGGCAGGGCCAAAACAACAGAAGCACACACUACAUACGAGACAGUUAAGGCCAAUUGAUCGAACAUGCAGGCUUAUACAUGGAAAUAAAGGCUAAAUGAGCUGGCUUUUUUUUUAA